GAGAGUAUAGCUCAGUGGUAGAGUGUAUGCAUGCUGUAUGCAAGAGGUCCUAGGUUCAAUUCCCAGUACCUCCA
rnacentral:tRNA from 1 species